rnacentral:rRNA from 1 species
GAUGAACGCUGGCGGCGUGCCUAAUACAUGCAUGUCGAGCGAACAGACGAGGAGCUUGCUCCUCUGACGUUAGCGGCGGACGGGUGAGUAACACGUGGAUAACCUACCUAUAAGACUGGGAUAACUUCGGGAAACCGGAGCUAAUACCGGAUAAUAUAUUGAACCGCAUGGUUCAAUAGUGAAAGACGGUUUUGCUGUCACUUAUAGAUGGAUCCGCGCCGCAUUAGCUAGUUGGUAAGGUAACGGCUUACCAAGGCAACGAUGCGUAGCCGACCUGAGAGGGUGAUCGGCCACACUGGAACUGAGACACGGUCCAGACUCCUACGGGAGGCAGCAGUAGGGAAUCUUCCGCAAUGGGCGAAAGCCUGGCGGAGCAACGCCGCGUGAGUGAUGAAGGUCUUCGGAUCGUAAAACUCUGUUAUUAGGGAAGAACAAAUGUGUAAGUAACUAUGCACGUCUUGACGGUACCUAAUCAGAAAGCCACGGCUAACUACGUG